rnacentral:rRNA from 1 species
AGCGAACGCUGGCGGCAGGCCUAACACAUGCAAGUCGAACGGAGUGGCGGACGUGUGAGUAACACGUGGGAACGUGCCCUUUGGUUCGGAACAACUCAGGGAAACUUGAGCUAAUACCGGAUGCAAUUGGAGCGGCCCGGGUGUGAUUAGCUAGUUGGUGAGGUAAAGGCUCACCAAGGCGACGAUCAGUAGCUGGUCUGAGAGGCUGAUCAGCCACAUUGGGACUGAGACACGGCCCAAACACCUACGUGAGGCAGGAGUGGGGAGUCUUGAGCAAUGAGGGAGAGCCUGACGCAGCCAGGCCGUGUGAAUGAUGAAUGUCUUAGGAUUGUAAAAUUCUUUCACCGGGGACGCGGUACCCGGAGAAGAAGCCCCGGCUAACUUCGUGCCAGCAGCCGCGGUAAUUC